rnacentral:rRNA from 1 species
CCCAGACUCCUACGGGAGGCAGCAGUGGGGAAUAUUGCACAAUGGGGGAAACCCUGAUGCAGCGACGCCGCGUGAGCGAAGAAGUAUUUCGGUAUGUAAAGCUCUAUCAGCAGGGAAGAAAUUGACGGUACCUGAGUAAGAAGCUCCGGCUAGAUACGUGCCAGCAGCCGCGGUAAUACGUAUGGAGCAAGCGUUAUCCGGAUUUACUGGGUGUAAAGGGAGCGUAGGCGGCCUGCCAAGUCUGAUGUGAAAUACCGGGGCCCAACCCCGGGACUGCCCUUGGAACUGCAUGGCUGGAGUGCGGGAGGGGCAGGCGGAAUUCCUGGUGUAGCGGUGAAAUGCGUAGAUAUCAGGAGGAACACCGGCGGCGAAGGCGGCCUGCUGGACCGUGACUGACGUUGAGGCUCGAGAGCGCGGGGAGCAAACAGGAUUAGAUACCCUCGUA